AAAGCGGUAUAUAAUCCUCCACAUCUGUCUAGGAAAACUCAUCUCUCUCUCUCUCUCUCUCUAAAAGUGUACUUUCUUCUGUGUUGCAUUGUAUAGAUGAGCAACACAGUUCUGGUAAAUGAGGUGGCUGAAUUCCCUCUUCUCUCCAUUGAAGAAGCUCUGGUUCCGCCUCCAUUCGGCUCCGAAGAAGAGAAGAGGGAUAUACAUUUUGUACGACGAUGUAAAAUCCUGUCCUUACGAGGACGUUCAUGUCCUCUGGUCAAUUCUGGUUGAAUCAAACACGGGAAUACAACCAAAAUACUAAGCCUGCACGAAUGGAGGUAGAACCCGCAGGAAACAAAGAUCACCAGACUUGUACAUAAUACUAUUUAUAUCAGAGUUCUGUUUUCGGCUUCUGAGGGUUGUUCCAUAUUAUCUUGUUUUUUGACCCCCACAGCUCUUCGGUAUUUUUUCUUGCUUAUGAUUGAAAGUAAUAUGCCUGUCUUAACUUGAAAGAGAUAAUAAAGCCUGGAGGUUCAUUCGACAGGUGCUA